ACGGUGGUGACCAAGUCACGCACAGAUGGUCUCCGCGUAUCAGGUGUAGGGGUGUAAAGGACCCCUACCAAUGACGCGAACGGGUUGUGGGAGCAAUCGCCCGGAGAUGGAUUCUGAGACACGAAUCCAGACCCUACGAGGUGCAGCAGGCGCGAAAACUUCACACUGCAGGAAACUGUGAUGAGGGUACUCCAAGUGCAGGCACAAUGUGUAUGCUUUUCCUAACUUGUAAUCGGUUAGGGAAUAAGGGCUGGGAAAGACCGGUGCCAGCCGCCGCGGUAAUACCGGCAGCUCAAGUGGUCGUCGCUUUUAUUGGGCCUUAAACGUCCGUAGCCUGUUUGGUAAAUCUGUGGGUAAAUCAACCAGCUUAACUGGUUGAAUUCUGCAGAGACUGCCAGACUAGGGACCGGGAGAGGUGUGGGGUACUCUCGGGGUAGGGGUAAAAUCCUGUCAUCCUGGGAGGACCACCAGUUGCGAAGGCGCCACACUGGAACGGAGGAGACAGAUGAGGGACGAGAGCCUAGGGGCACGAACCGGAUUAGAUACCCGGGUAGUCCUAGGAGUAAACGCUGUGAACUUGGUGUCGGGGAUCCUACUUGGGUUCCCGGUGCCGGAGUGAAGAUGUUAAGUUCACUGCCUGGGGAGUACGGUCGCAAGGCUGAAACUCAAAUGAAU
rnacentral:rRNA from 1 species